AUUGAUGGUACAGCACUUUAAAGGCCCUCGCUUUAGGCGAUGGCUCCUUUCAUAACUUCCUAACUUUCAGGACCUGAAGGACUCAUCUCCUAUGCCUGUGUGUGUCACUAGGCUUUUGAGACAGCUUUAGAAAGGAAGGAAAUACUGUCGUAAACUACAACAUGAAUGAACCUUGAAGACAUUAUGCUAAGUGAAAUAAGCCUGUCACAGAAAAAAAAAUACGGUAUGAUUCCACUUGUAUGAAAUAUUUAAAGUAAGAAAAUUCAUAGAAAUACAAAAUAAAUGGUGGUCACUAGAGGCUGGAGAAAGGGGGAAAAGGAAGGUUGUUGUUUAAU
rnacentral:lncRNA from 1 species